ACCUGCAGCAGACUGCUUUGUCACACUUACUGCCUGCUGUUUGUCAUCUCCACCUCAAGGUGGACGUCAGCGCUUCCACUUCUUGCAUCUACUGCACAUCUGAAGUGACAGGUGGAGGGAAUCCUAACAAGAGGAGUUUCCGCUGGAGGCCUCCCUGGAUAUUGCCAUGAUUUAAUGAUGAGCUGCUGUGAAUACACCCAUCGGUCUCCUUUGUUUCUUGUUUUGUGCCUAAAUGAACAUUUCUCCUUCUCAAUGUCUGAGGGCAAACGGAUUUUAGACCAAGUGUGAGCCUGACACUGGCUGACAUCUACCUGCGGUGCUUCACCCUUCUCUGUGGGACGGUUGAAGGGGACCAGGGCGCCAUGCCCACUCUGCCUAGUCUCAACAGCCUGGGCAAGCUGUGCAGCUCCAGCCGCAGUCACAAUGUCGACCGCGUCCGAGUGAAACGCAAGAGCUCAGUCAAGCGUAUGUCCGUCAUCGAGGAUGGACACGUGGCUGAAGUCCUGUACCUCAUUCCUAAACAGUACAUGGAGCAGCUACCAUACCUCAACCCAAAUGACUAUUAUCUAAGUGAAAGGCUGAAUGAGGUCGCUACAGUGGCUCAUGCGCAGGACACACACCACCACUCCACAGAGAAGCCCCUGAUUCAGUGCUACAAGUGCGGGGAGCCAUGUAAAGGCGAAGUGCUGCGGGUGCAGAGCAAGCACUUUCACCUCAAGUGCUUCACCUGUAAAGUGUGUGGCUGUGACCUCGCCCAGGGGGGCUUCUUCAUGAAGAAUGGAGAAUAUCUGUGCACGCUGGACUACCAACGAAUGCACGGCACCCGCUGCAAUGGCUGCGGGGACUUUGUUGAGGGAGAAGUGGUCACUGCCCUGGGCAAGACCUACCACCCGGCCUGCUUCGUCUGCACCAUCUGCAAACGACCGUUCCCUGCCGGGGACAGGGUGACCUUUAACGGGAAGGACUGUCUGUGUCAGUACUGUGUUGAGCCCAUGUCUCCAGGACCAAAGGACAUCCUGGGCUCCAGCAACUGUGCCGGAUGUGGCCGAGACAUUAAGAACGGACAGGCUCUUCUUGCCUUGGACAGACAGUGGCACCUGGGCUGCUUCAAGUGUAAGGCCUGCAGCAAAGUGCUGACCGGGGAGUACAUCAGCAAGGAUGGCGCCCCCUACUGUGAGAAGGACUACCAGAUCCAUUUUGGAGUUCAGUGUGAGGCGUGUCAUCAGUUCAUCACAGGGAAGGUGCUAGAGGCAGGAGAUAAGCACUACCACCCCAGCUGCGCGAGAUGCAGCAGGUGCAAUCAGAUGUUCACAGAAGGAGAAGAGAUGUAUCUGCAAGGAUCAACAGUGUGGCAUCCCGGCUGCAAGAACACCACUAGAACAGAGGAGAGACACAGGGAGCGGCUAUUGCCUCCGUCCCUCUUAUUCCUCCAAAAAACAGAAAGGCAGCCUACGAGGUCGUCAUCCGAGAGUAUUUGUUCCAGACCUGGUUCAAGCAUACCUGGCUCACCGGGUCACACGAUCUAUGCAAAAGUAGACAAUGAGAUCCUUGAUUACAGAGACCUAGCUGCCAUUCCAAAAGUCAAAGCCAUUUAUGACAUUGAGCGCCCUGAUCUUAUUACCUAUGAACCCAUGUACUCCACCUCCCUGGAUGAGAGAGAGGAGAGACGAGAGAGUGUGGGAGAGCUCCACACUGCCAGGAGGGAACGUUCCCCUUUGCCUGAUGACAAGUCCUCAAGAAACAUGUCGCCAACCCCACCCAGUGAGGGCUCUUACGACAGGAGGGAACGCAUCCUUCAAAGAUCCACCAGUCAGGGCUCCAUAGGAUCACCAGUUUAUAAUCGCCAUGGUUACACUCCCACCUUGUCACGGUCACCACAGCAUUUUCACAGGCCAGAGGCUCUGACAGGCAUGCAGAAGCUCUGCUCCUCCCUGUGCAGUAACAGUGUGGGCUCCAGAAAUAGUGACUCCCGCCCCACCUCCCCUUUCAGACACCACUUCCUCCCCCAUAGCCAAGGCACUGACCCGCCAAGUGGCCGGAGCUCCCCCCUCCCGCUCAGGCCCGACAGCCGGCCGGUCACCCCGCCUCUCUCUCAGACCCCUAAACAUUUCCACCUCCCAGAUCAGGGGAGCAACAUCUACAGAAAACCACCCAUCUACAAACAACACGAUACAGCUGCCAUAGCACGUCAAAGCAAGUCUGCUGAUGACAUCAUCAGAUCCGCCACCUUCCCCGCUGCCCAUGCUCCCUCUCCGGACGACAGCUCUCGGAGUGAGGGCGACCGUUGGCCCUACUCUCUCGCUGUAUUAGGUUCAGAAGGAAGGAGACGGUCUAGAGAAGAGGAGGAGGAGGAGGCCUUGAAAAGAAAGCAGCUGCAGGAGGAACAUCUCAGUAAGAUUCAGUCUGGUUUGGGGAAACUGAUUCUGAAGGAGGAGAUGGAAAAAGAGCAGAUCAGGGAGCGUCAUGCACGCAGCCUCUCUGCUCAGCGCUACGAUCCUAAACAGACCAACUGUGACGCAGAUCCAACCUCUCCAACCAAAACUAACUCUUUGCCUGGCUAUGGGAGGAAUGGGCUGCAUCGGCCUCAGUCAACCGAUUUCACUCAGUACAACAGUUACGGUGACAUGUGUGGAGGAGGCAGAGAGUUUCAGGUAUGUCUCUCAUCUGCUUUUUCACAUGGCAUGCUUCCUUCAUCUUGCAUCAUGUAUUUGCUUGCUUGUGGGUUGCAAGAGACACCUUGCCCUGAAUGCACACCGCCCACUCCUGCUACAUGCUUGCAUCACUAUUGGUUUAGUGUCAACAACAGGGCAUGUAGUGCAGUGAUUUCAAAUGCCUCGGAUUUGAGAAGCAAACACGCACUGCCCAGUAGCUGAACCAGUGUACUAUAAAUGCAAUGUAUAAUCAUUGCCUCAUGUCUUGUUCUGUGUGUUGUUUAUCAGUGUUAUGACUCGAGCUAAAUGUCACAUUUAAAUUUAGCCUUUUAUAGAAGAAAAAACUACAGAGACAUUUAGACAACAUGUAAAUGACUGCCCAUCUUGUAAUUAAGAUACUGAAGCAGUAUCCAAAGCUACUCGCCCCAUCCAGUGAGAACUGUGCCCACUGUCAUUAGUGGACAUACUCAUGCCAUUAACCGUGUAGUCCCCUUCCACUAUAUUACAUUUGUGUAUGUUCUAUUCUUUAGCACAUUAAGGAUGGCCGUGCAGCACUUGCAAGGAUGGACAGGGGAGUAUCUAUGCCUAAUAUGUUGGAACCAAAAGCAAGUAUCUUCUUCUUUUUGUACUGAUGACAACAUUGUAAUCGACACUGCAAUAUGUUACAAAAUCUACAUAUUGUUCACUUCUUUAAAUGCAUUUUAAUUUGUAAAAAAGGAUACAUUUCACAACAAAGCAUAGUAAUAAAGAGACCAGCUCAAACUCCUAACCUAGUGUGGGGACAUCGGUGGAAGAAAUAGUUAAAAAAACAUUUUUACUGGAAGCGAAAAACUCACGUCAGAUGGGUUCCUGAUUCAGCAUGCUGCUUUAGGAGCUGCCCAGUCACUCUAGCGCUUAGCAUGCUGGCUUCUCCAUGCUCAUCUGCACAUAGCUUUGACUUAAAGUGGCUGGAUACUGUAUGCAGCAUACAGUGGAGAAUCCAAUGCCCAGAUUGUCAUCCAAACAACUCAUAUCACUAUAUACUGCGUAGUAUAUAAGGGAGUAUACACAUGGAUAUGAGUUGGUCAGAGGCUUCGAAGAACUUCUAGUUGCUUAUUAUUGAGCAUUUCGGCUAUGAUUAACCACUUUCUUAUUGUAUGGAAGGCAUUAGUAUUUAGAAACAUAGAAGCACCUCAGUUUCCAGGACAAUCGUUCCCAUGUGGAUUUACUUGGCCCACAUUACAGAUGUUAGUUCUAUUUUUAGUUUGCAUUAAAUUAUUCUAAAAAUACAGCUGGUUUCGUAACUGUUUUCAUGUUUUUUUCCCUUACCUAAUCUGUUGCACGUUUCAACACCUAAAGGAAAAAUCCGAAAACCCACCAUAACACCCGCAUUUCCCCAACAACCUAAAAUACAACCCAGUCAGCCUCCUGUCACAUACCUGUUCUCCCACCCAGUGUUCCCAUUGUCACAGUCAGAUGUACCAAAAUAUCCAAAUUUGAUAGUACUGUUCGAUAAAAACUGGUUUGCAAGUUUUUGAAACACUUAACUCGAGCUCGCAGGUUGGACCUGUUCACUGAUGAAUGUCUCCUUCUGAAGGUGUAUCCCUAUGAAAUGCUCAUGAUAACCAGUAGAGGGAGAGCUAAACUGCCCAGGGAUGUGGACAGAACCAGACUGGAGCGCCACUUAGCACCUGAAACGUUCUUUGACAUCUUUGGAAUGGAGAUCCAGGAGUUUGACAGGCUUCCCCUGUGGAAACGCAACGACAUGAAAAAGAAGGCCAAGCUCUUCUAGCACUCAGAGCAGCAUGCAUAUUCUGUACAUUCAUUCAGAUAGCACACGACAACUGUAAUCUAGAUGUAGGUUUUUGGUUUAUUUCCUUUUUUCCUCUGUUUUUUUUCCCUGUUUUUGUUUUAUCCUGACAUAAUCAAGGAAGCCAUGAAAUGGACUCUGCUCUGACGCUUCCUGAGACUAUGAACUGAAAGAUUUGUCCAGUUAGACUUGCACAGAAUGGGAAUCUCUUCCAUGUUCAAAAAUGACAAAGAAUGAAUGAUAAAUAGGGUCAUGUUAUUUGGUUUGACUGCGCUCGUUUUACUUCUUGCUUUGCUUUGAGUGGAACUGCUUUCCUUUCUUUCUUGCUUGUUUCUUCCUACUAUUUGUUGCUGUUGAUUCCUGUGGAACUUUGUAAGUACAGUAGAACCUCAUGGCGCCAUUAUGAAAUGUCCAUGCUUGUAGCUUGAACAUGUGUCAGCUUUCCUUCGCUUGGGCUGAAACUAUUUUGGUCCAAAGUUUGCAAGAAUUGGCUCAGUGAGUCUUUGAAUAAAAAAAAUAAAAAUAAACACCACAGGGAAGGCAGUCAUCUGACCCACCAACUGUUUUACAUGGAAAUCUACAUGGAAAUUAAUCAUCCAAGCACCUACAUAUCACCACUCUCCUGCCCCUGGCUACUGCACACACAAAGCAAUCAUCUGACCCUGACAAAAAAAAAUGUCUCUCUUCUCAGGCUCUCAUAAACAUGGCCAGACACUCUCCCUUUACAUGUAUUGAAAGUACAAAUCUUAAUAUAUUUUAAUGCCGUAUCCAACGUAAAGUAACAGACAAAUAUCUAAAACCCCUCAUGUAAGAAGCAACUGUAUUUGAAAGUACUGUUUUAUAAAUGAAAACCCACACUGCCAUUUGUUGUAUUGAAAUCUAAGCCAAUAAAGCUUUAAAUCACCAUGAACCAUAAUGAUCCUCUGCUAUACCAAAGGUA